rnacentral:miRNA from 1 species
UGAGUAUUACAUCAGGUACU